GAUGAAGAACGUAGCGAAAUGCGAUAAGUAAUGUGAAUUGCAGAAUUCAGUGAAUCAUCGAAUCUUUGAACGCACAUUGCGCCCGCUAGUAUUCUGGCGGGCAUGCCUGUCCGAGCGUCAUUUCAACCCUCAAGCCCCCGGGCUUGGUGUUGGGGAUCGGCGAGCCUCCGCGCCCGCCGUCCCCUAAAUCUAGUGGCGGUCUCGCUGUAGCUUCCUCUGCGUAGUAGCACACCUCGCACUGGGAAACAGCGCGGCCACGCCGUUAAACCCCCAACUUCUGAACGUUUGACCUCGGAUCAGGUAGGAAUACCCGCUGAACUUAAGCAUAUCAAUAAGCGGAGAA
rnacentral:misc_RNA from 1 species